rnacentral:rRNA from 1 species
CCCUUAGAUGUUCUGGGCCGCACGCGCGCUACACUGAUGCAUUCAACGAGUUUCUUCCUGGUCCGAGAGGAAUGGGUAACCUUUUGAAAGUGCAUCGUGAUAGGGAUAGACUAUUGCAAUUAUUGGUCUUCAACGAGGAAUUCCUAGUAGACGUAGUUCAUCAGACUGCAUCGAUUACGUCCCUGCCCUUUGUACACACCGCCCGUCGCUCCUACCGAUUGAAUGCUCAGGUGAGCCAUUCGGACUUUCAUCAUGCUGGUUUCCAGUUUUGAUGAAGGAAAGUCUUGCGAACCUUAUCAUUUAGAGGAAGGAGAAGUCGUAACG